GACGAACGCUGGCGGCGUGCUUAACACAUGCAAGUCGAACGAUGAAGCCGGAGCUUGCUCUGGUGAAUUAGUGGCGAACGGGUGAGUAACACGUGAGUAACCUGCCCUUGACUCUGGGAUAACUGCGGGAAACUGUAGCUAAUACCGGAUACGACCCUCGGAGGCAUCUCCUGGGGGUGGCAAGAAUUUGGGUCAAGGAUGGAAUCGCGGCCUAUCAGCUAGUUGGUGAGGUAAAGGCUCACCAAGGCGACGACGGGUAGCCGGCCUGAGAGGGUGACCGGCCACACUGGGACUGAGACACGGCCCAGACUCCUACGGGAGGCAGCAGUGGGGAAUAUUGCACAAUGGGCGCAAGCCUGAUGCAGCAACGCCGCGUGAGGGAUGACGGCCUUCGGGUUGUAAACCUCUUUUAGCAGGGAAGAAGCGAAAGUGACGGUACCUGCAGAAAAAGCACCGGCUAACUGCGUGCCAGCCGCCGCCGUAA
rnacentral:rRNA from 1 species